AUUGAACGCUGGCGGCAUGCCUUACACAUGCAAGUCGAACGGCAGCACGGAUGCUUGCACCUGGUGGCGAGUGGCGAACGGGUGAGUAAUACAUCGGAACGUACCUUAUCGUGGGGGAUAACGUAGCGAAAGCUGUGCUAAUACCGCAUACGCGCCGAGGGGGAAAGCGGGGGAUCGAAAGACCUCGCGCGAUUAGAGCGGCCGAUGCCUGAUUAGCUUGUUGGUGGGGUAAAAGCCCACCAAGGCGACGAUCAGUAGCUGGUCUGAGAGGACGAUCAGCCACACUGGGACUGAGACACGGCCCAGACUCCUACGGGAGGCAGCAGUGGGGAAUUUUGGACAAUGGGGGCAACCCUGAUCCAGCAAUGCCGCGUGAGUGAAGAAGGCCUUCGGGUUGUAAAGCUCUUUUGUCAGGGAAGAAACACCGGCUCUAACACAGUCCGGGAAUGACGGUACCUGAAGAAUAAGCACUGGCUAACUACGUGCCAGCAGCCGCAGUAA
rnacentral:rRNA from 1 species